AGAGUUUGAUCAUGGCUCAGGACGAACGCUGGCGGCACGCUUAACACAUGCAAGUCGAACGAGAGAAGAGGAGCUUGCUUUUCUGAUCUAGUGGCGGACGGGUGAGUAACACGUGAGCAAUCUGCCUUUCAGAGGGGGAUACCGAUUGGAAACGAUCGUUAAUACCGCAUAACAUAAUUGAACCGCAUGAUUUGAUUAUCAAAGAUUUAUCGCUGAAAGAUGAGCUCGCGUCUGAUUAGCUAGUUGGUAAGGUAACGGCUUACCAAGGCGACGAUCAGUAGCCGGACUGAGAGGUUGAUCGGCCACAUUGGGACUGAGACACGGCCCAGACUCCUACGGGAGGCAGCAGUGGGGAAUAUUGCACAAUGGAGGAAACUCUGAUGCAGCGAUGUCGCGUGAGGGAGGAAGGUUUUAGGAUUGUAAACCUCUGUCUUCAGGGACGAAAAAAGACGGUACCUGAGGAGGAAGCUCCGGCUAACUACGUGCCAGCAGCCGCGGUAAUACGUAGGGAGCGAGCGUUGUCCGGAAUUACUGGGUGUAAAGGGAGCGUAGGCGGGAUCGCAAGUCAGAUGUGAAAACUAUGGGCUUAACCCAUAAACUGCAUUUGAAACUGUGGUUCUUGAGUGAAGUAGAGGUAAGCGGAAUUCCUAGUGUAGCGGUGAAAUGCGUAGAUAUUAGGAGGAACAUCAGUGGCGAAGGCGGCUUAUUGGGCUUUAACUGACGCUGAGGCUCGAAAGCGUGGGGAGCAAACAGGAUUAGAUACCCUGGUAGUCCACGCCGUAAACGAUGAUUACUAGGUGUGGGGGGACUGACCCCUUCCGUGCCGCAGCAAACGCAAUAAGUAAUCCACCUGGGGAGUACGACCGCAAGGUUGAAACUCAAAGGAAUUGACGGGGGCCCGCACAAGCAGUGGAGUAUGUGGAUUAAUUCGAAGCAACGCGAAGAACCUUACCAGGUCUUGACAUCGUAUGCAUAGCUCAGAGAUGAGUGAAAUCUCUUCGGAGACAUAUAGACAGGUGGUGCAUGGUUGUCGUCAGCUCGUGUCGUGAGAUGUUGGGUUAAGUCCCGCAACGAGCGCAACCCUUACUGUUAGUUGCUACGCAAGAGCACUCUAGCAGGACUGCCGUUGACAAAACGGAGGAAGGUGGGGAUGACGUCAAAUCAUCAUGCCCCUUAUGACCUGGGCCUCACACGUACUACAAUGGCUGUCAACAGAGGGAAGCAAAGCCGCGAGGUGGAGCGAACCCCUAAAAGCAGUCUUAGUUCGGAUUGUAGGCUGCAACCCGCCUACAUGAAGUCGGAAUUGCUAGUAAUCGCAGAUCAGCAUGCUGCGGUGAAUACGUUCCCGGGCCUUGUACACACCGCCCGUCACGCCAUGGGAGUCGGUAACACCCGAAGCCUGUAGUCUAACCGCAAGGAGGACGCAGUCGAAGGUGGGAUUGAUGACUGGGGUGAAGUCGUAACAAGGUA
rnacentral:rRNA from 1 species